CAUAUUUGUAUUGGAGGCAACCUCAACCUCAACAUUCUUGCGGUCGCGUGGCAAUGCUGUCGGGCUGCCAGAUUCGAUCGCUGGACGCCGCGCCACAGCAUGUUGGCCCUGGCGCGCGCUCUGGCAACCCUGCUGUCGCUGCGCUCCCCGCUGCACGCUUCACUCGAAAUGCCAAAGCAUUCCAAGCAUAACAAUGGCGUCUGCUUUACGCUGUUAGCCUGUUCGGGCGAUGUGAGUUAUUGUUGGCGUUGGCGUUGUCGCAAUCUAUUUACAUUUAUCUAUUUGCGUGUGGAAUCAAAUGAAUAUCGUAUAGAGUGUUGUUACGUUUCCAUCUAAUCCGUCUAACACCCUUCUAGACUACCAUGGUGAUGGCUAGUUCGCUGACUUGUGACCAAUUAAAGAGCCGCAACCAAUCCAAAAAAACAUCAACAACAAUGAAGAUCAUCACACGCAGUUCCGAGCUGUCUGAUCGGACCGGAUUACAUAUACAUAUGUAUAUAGCAUACCACAUGCGUGGGGGCAACUUGAUAUGUUGGGAUAAGAUCUGAUGGGAAUGGCGCGCGCAUUAAUUGAAGCUGUCUACAUUCAUUAAAAGCAUGGUGUCCUCGAGAGUUAGUUGGGAGCAGGGGAGCAUAAAUAAAAGUGCUGAUAGCAAUACUAAUUAAUAAAUUUGUUUAAUUAAUGGCCGUUAUUAUCAAUUAAUAUGCUAUUUCCUCUUAUUUUUCACUUUCGAACACAAGCGCACAAGACUUUUAAAUAUUGCUUUAGUACUUAUAUUAUACUUAUUAUAUAUACUGGUACUUCGGAGCAUGUCGAGUGUUUGCUCUUGAUUAUCAGGCUUGUUGAGUUCAAUCGUUCAUUUGCUCUGCAGUCUGGACAAAGUGUGCCAUUGAUAAUAAGAAUAUAAAAAAGUUGACUGAUAAACCUGGAAUGCCCAUAAUAUACACAUUUAUUGAGAAUAUAUAAUCUAAUAUAAUACUAAGCUGUCCUCAGACUAUAUAAUAUAAUACCAAACUGUCCUCAAGUACUUUAGCAUUAAGUUUAGUUAGUUGAAACAACAUUAAGUUUUUUUGAUAAGAUUCUACAAAUUCGAUCGUUUAUAUGAUUUAUAUGUAUAUACUACAUUACCACAUAGUUGUGGUCGGGUUGGUAAGAUGGAAUAAAACG